rnacentral:rRNA from 1 species
AUUCGGAGUGAAAGGCGAACUGCUCAGUAACACGUAGCUAAUCUACCCUUACGCCGGUAAUACCCUCGGGAAACUGAGGCUAAUGACCGAUAGGAAACUUCAACUGCAAUGUGUUGUUUUCGAAAGCUUGUGUAAGGAUGAGGCUGCGGCGGAUUAGGUCGUUGGCGGGGUAAUGGCCCACCAAGCCGAUGAUCCGUAAGGGCUCUUAGCGGAGAAGCCCUGAGAGGGAAUCUGAGACACUAUUCCCAGCCCUACGGGGUGCAGCAGUCGGGAAACUUCUGCAAUGCACGCAAGUGUGACAGAGCAAGCCAGAGUGCAUUCUCGUAUUGGGAACGCUUUUGUGGAACGUAAAAAGUCCCACGAAUAAGGACCGGGCAAGACUGGUGCCAGCCGCCGCGGUAAUACCAGCGGUCCAAGUCGCAAUCAGCUUUAUUGGGUCUAAAACAUCCGUAGCUUGUCACGUAAGUCUCUUGUGAAAUCUCAUUUCUCAAGAAUGGAAGUGCGAGAGAUACUGCGUGGCUAGAGACCGGGAGACGUGAAGAGUACGGUUCGGGUAGCGGUAAAAUGCGUUGAUCCUUACUGGACUAACAAUAGCGAAGGCACUUCACGAGAACGGAUCUGACAGUGAGGGAUGAAGGCUAGGGGCGCAAAACGGAUUAGAUACCCGUGUAGUCCUAGCAGUAAACACUGCUCACUAAACAUUGGGGCCUCCUCGAGAGGUUUCAGUGCUGUAGGGAAGCCGUAGAGUGAGCUACCUGGGAAGUAUAGUCGCAAGGCCGAAACUUAAAGGAAUAGGCGGGGGAGUACUACAACGAGUGACGCGUGCGGUUCAAUUAGAUUCCACACCGUGAACCUCACCAGGACCGACAGCAGGAUGAAGGUCAGUCUGAAGGGCUUACCUGACACGCUGAGAGGAGAUGCAUGGCCCACGUCAGCCUGUGUCGUGAGAUGACCUGUUAAAUAGGUAACAGGCGAGACCCGUAUACAUAUUUACUUCGUGUACAAUAUGUAGACUGCCUUGGUAACAAGGAGGAAGGUGCGGGCUACGUGAGGUGAGUACGUCCCGAAUGUCCUGGGCUACACGCGCGCGGCAAUGCCACGUUCAAUGGGCUGCGACACCGAGAGGUGAAGCCAAUCUCAUAAACCGUGGCCUAGUUCAGAUUGAGGAUUGCAACUCAUCCUCAUGACGCUGGAAUUCGUAGUAAUCGUGUGUUAUCAGCAGACGGUGAAUAUGUCAAUGCUCCUUGCACUCACCGCCCGUCAAACCAACCGAGUUUAGCAUUGGCGAGGCUCGUCAGGGACGAACCUUUGUUAGACAAGGUAGGUUAAGUCGACACAAGGUA